AGUUCAGCAUCUUCGGAUGCAAUCCUGAUGAGGAUUGAGGAGCCGAGGCAGAUCCAUGAGUCAAUGAACCAGGAGGUGCAACAGCAUGAGCCUCAAGUCACAGAUAAACAGAGGUCCCCCAUGGCUGUGAAGCCCAUAGAGGAAGGACAUACAGAGUCUUCACAGGGAUCUGCAGUUUCAGCAUCACUGCCUGUCUCCAGCAGCCAGACUGAACAUGUGUCCUUCAGAAUGUUUACUGCAAAAUGUGCUUUGACCACAAUUUCUCUGCCAAUGGACAAAAAGUUUAGUGACAUCCUUAUGGAGCGGAGGCAGAAGUGGAAGGAGGAGCUACGUAGACAGAAGCGGCAGCAGAGAUCCCCAAAUUCACCACAGGGAACACCUGUAACUGACACUGCAGACGUGGACCAUUCAGUUCCAGUGAAAAAAAUCAAAACCAGUCAUCAGCAGCUGUCGAUUGACGAUUUGUGCAGAAAAUUUGCUGAUUUAUGUUUGUAGAUUGUGUUUGUGUAUUGUGCACAUCUUAAAUAAAUAUAUUCCCAUAAAAAA
ensembl:processed_transcript